rnacentral:tRNA from 1 species
GGGGCCGUGAGGUAACCUGGUAUCCUGCAGGCUUGGGGUGCCUGUUAUCCGAGAUGCUUAAAAAAGCACGGAAAUUCAAAUCUCGGCGGCCCCA